GAUUAACGCUGGCGGCGUGCAUAACACAUGCAAGUCGAACGAAGUGGCGGACGGGUGAGUAACGCGUGAGUAACCUGCCUUAGAGAAGGGGAUAGCCUUUGGAAACGAAGAAUAAUACCCUAUGGUCUAAGGUGGGCUUGCGUCUGAUUAGUUAGUUGGGGGGGUAACGGCCCACCAAGGCAACGAUCAGGAGCCGGCCUGAGAGGGGGGCCCGCCACCUUGGGACGGGGACACGGGCCAGACUCGGAGAGAGGCCGCAGUGUGGACUGUUGAACCAUGGGGGAAAACCGGAUGCAGCGACGCCGUGUGAUUUAGAAGUCAUUCGGGUUGUAAAAAUCUUUUCUAUGUGAAGCAGUACCAAAGGAAUAAGGACCGGCUAAUUACGUGCCAGCAGCCGCGGUAAUUC
rnacentral:rRNA from 1 species